ACAGAAACAUAAAUACAUAUCCCUCAAAUAAAUAUUGAAAUUACAUGAACAUUUUUACCUGAAGAACAAUCUGUUCACUGUUGAAUCUAUUAAAUAUUUAACAUAUCAACCAACAGAAUAACGUUGUUUAUAUGUGUUAUUAGUUAUACCAAAAACAAUUAGAAACUCUCACAUUAUUGAAUGAAACUAAUUUUUACAGAUUUAUCAAAAAAAUACACAGAAUUGUAUGACAAAGAUUCCGAAAAACCGGUUACUAUUUUCUGUGAGAAAUAUAUGAAGAAUUCAGAGAAAGAGUUUAUUAAGACUUUGUUUGCAUCAUUUGCAUAAAUAUUUUGUUUACUUGUUUGAAGAUAAAUAUUAAUUAAACUAUAAUAAUACAAUUACAUAUUUAAUUAUAUUAUAUUAUAUAUCGAAUUAUAAAUACUCUUAUAAUAUAAACAUAACUACAGUAUAUUAUAUACUCUAAUAAUUCAUAUUAUAAUAAAUUCGAUGUUUUCGACAAAAAAAAUAAUCCAACCAAUACCGUAUGUUACUAAUAGUAGAUAGUAUAAAUUAUAAAUUAAUAAUAUAUUUUAUAUUGUAAUACUAAUAUAUACUUAAUAAUAAAGGUUUGUCUAUAUCA
rnacentral:lncRNA from 1 species